rnacentral:misc_RNA from 1 species
AGCAGCCGCGGUAAUUCCAGCUCCAAUAGCGUAUAUUAAAGUUGUUGCAGUUAAAAAGCUCGUAGUUGAAUUUCGGGAUCAAUUUGCUGGUCGUGCCUCUGGUACGUACUGGUAUUAUUGGUUUCUCCCUUCUGACGAACCAUGAUGUCAUUAAUUUGAUGUCGUGGAGAAUCAGGACUGUUACUUUGAAAAAAUUAGAGUGUUUAAAGCAGGCAUUAGCUUGAAUACAUUAGCAUGGAAUAAUGAAAUAGGACGUUUGAUCCUAUUUUGUUGGUUUCUAGGAUUGACGUAAUGAUUAAUAGGGAUAGUUGGGGGCAUUAGUAUUCAAUUGUCAGAGAUGAAAUUCUUGGAUUUAUUGAAGACUAACUACUGCGAAAGCAUUUGCCAAGGAUGUUUUCAUUAAUCAAGAACGAAAGUUAGGGGAUCGAAGACGAUCAGAUACCGUCGUAGUCUUAACCAUAAACUAUGCCGACUAGGGAUCGGAUGAUGUUAAUUUUUUCAAUGACUCAUUCGGCGCCUU